rnacentral:rRNA from 1 species
AGAGUUUGAUCCUGGCUCAGGAUGAACGCUAGCGGCAAGCUUAAUACAUGCAAGUCGAGGGGCAGCAGAACUGUAGCAAUACAGUUGCUGGCGACCGGCAAACGGGUGCGGAACACGUACGCAACCUACCCAAAACUGAGGAAUAGCCCGGGGAAACCCGGAUUAAUACCUCGUAACAUAAUUGAAUGGCAUCAUUUAAUUAUUAUAGCUCCGGCGGUUUUGGAUGGGCGUGCGCCUGAUUAGGUAGUUGGCGGGGUAACGGCCCACCAAGCCUACGAUCAGUAACUGGUGUGAGAGCACGACCAGUCACACGGGCACUGAGACACGGGCCCGACUCCUACGGGAGGCAGCAGUAAGGAAUAUUGGUCAAUGGACGCAAGUCUGAACCAGCCAUGCCGCGUGAAGGAUGAAGGUCCUCUGGAUUGUAAACUUCUUUUAUAUGGGACGAAACCCGGGAAUUCUUUUCCGAUUGACGGUACCAUAAGAAUAAGCACCGGCUAACUCCGUGCCAGCAGCCGCGGUAAUUC